rnacentral:SRP_RNA from 1 species
GCUGGGCGUAGUGGUGCGUGCCUGUAAUCCCAGCUACUCGGGAGGCUGAGGCAGGAGAAUUGCUUGAACCUGGGAGGUGGAGGUUGCAGUGAGCCCAGGUCGUGCCACUGCACUCCAGCCUGGGCAACAGAGCAAGACCCUGUCUCGA